UUGUAUCUCCAGAUUAGAAAGACAGUUUUUUGACCUGAGCAGGACGAAGAAGACAUGAUAAUUGUCUGGGGUGGCAAUGGGAGCUGCUUUGCCCAUCAGAAUGUGCCUAGAGGUUUAUGAGGUGGCCUUAAAGGAUCCCUCUCAAAAAUCAAUCAGUCUACUGCCCUGAAAGGAUGCAAUGAGGGUGGAGGUCAUGGCCUCCAUUGGGGUCUGGGUAUGUGUGUUGUGGGCAGACAUGGGUCCUCUCCACCCUGAAUAUAGGAUGACCUCCAAGGUGCCUUUCUGCCUGACAUCCUGCCAUUUGAUGUCUCUCAGGUUGACCUGACUAGCCUGGAUUGUUAAAGGAGGGACUCGUGAGCACUGGUGGAACAAGAAGUGGGCUGGGCUGGACAGUAUGACCAUGAGCAGUUUUUCCAAUCAACACUCCUAUUCUCAAAGCAAAUGAAGAGAUGUACAGAAAUAGAUCCCAAGUGGGAUGGCGCUGGACUUGGGGAAGAAAGGGAAGAUGGCCCCCUGAAAGACGUGGGCAGUGAAAGAGCUUUCAGACAAUCCUCACUGCCAUGGGGUGCCCUGAAUUCUUUGACACUGUCUUUUAAUUGUGUCUGCACUCAAUAACCUGUGUAUUCCCAUUUGCCAAAUGCUGCUCUGCAAAAGCAU